GAGGUCUAACUCGGUCUUGAUCCUUGUGCUAAAUCCACGGCAGCAUCAGACAUUGCUGAAUAGCUGGUGCGGGAGGCUGCAGCUGGCCAUGGGGACUGCAGCCCCUGCCUCCGGGGCUCACUCCUGGGCGGCCAGACAGUGGCUAAGGCAGACAGGCAGUUCUUAUGGAGCUUCAGGCUGCCCGGGGAGGCGCAGAAGAUUGAUCGCAUGAUGGAGGCUUUCGCUUCUCGCUACUGCCUGUGCAACCCCGGGGUCUUCCAGUCCACAGACACGUGCUACGUGCUGUCAUUCGCCAUCAUCAUGCUCAACACCAGCCUCCACAACCACAACGUGCGUGACAAGCCCACGGCAGAACGGUUCAUCGCCAUGAACCGCGGCAUCAACGAGGGCGGGGACCUCCCUGAGGAGCUGCUGAGGAAUUUGUAUGAGAGCAUUAAGAACGAGCCGUUUAAGAUCCCGGAGGACGACGGGAACGACCUGACCCACACCUUCUUCAACCCCGACCGCGAGGGCUGGCUCCUGAAGCUGGGAGGGCGUGUGAAGACCUGGAAGCGCCGGUGGUUCAUCUUGACCGAUAACUGCCUCUAUUACUUUGAAUACACAACA
rnacentral:sRNA from 1 species